UAGGGAAUCUUCCGCAAUGGGCGAAAGCUUGACGGAGCAACGCCGCGUGAGUGAUGAAGGUCUUCGGAUCGUAAAACUCUGUUAUUAGGGAAGAACAAAUGUGUAAGUAACUAUGCACGUCUUGACGGUACCUAAUCAGAAAGCCACGGCUAACUACGUGCCAGCAGCCGCGGUAAUACGUAGGUGGCAAGCGUUAUCCGGAAUUAUUGGGCGUAAAGCGCGCGUAGGCGGUUUUUUAAGUCUGAUGUGAAAGCCCACGGCCCAACCGUGGAGGGUCAUUGGAAACUGGAAAACUUGAGUGCAGAAGAGGAAAGUGGAAUUCCAUGUGUAGCGGUGAAAUGCGCAGAGAUAUGGAGGAACACCAGUGGCGAAGGCGACUUUCUGGUCUGUAACUGACGCUGAUGUGCGAAAGCGUGGGGAUCAAACAGG
rnacentral:rRNA from 1 species